AGUUUGAUCCUGGCUCAGGAUGAACGCUAGCUACAGGCUUAACACAUGCAAGUCGAGGGGCAGCGGGAUUGAAGCUUGCUUCAAUUGCCGGCGACCGGCGCACGGGUGAGUAACGCGUAUCCAACCUUCCGUACACUCAGGGAUAGCCUUUCGAAAGAAAGAUUAAUACCUGAUGGUAUGAUGAGAUUGCAUGAUAGCAUCAUUAAAGAUUUAUCGGUGUACGAUGGGGAUGCGUUCCAUUAGGUAGUUGGCGGGGUAACGGCCCACCAAGGCGACGAUCAGUAGCCGGACUGAGAGGUUGAACGGCCACAUUGGGACUGAGAUACGGCCCAGACUCCUACGGGAGGCAGCAGUGGGGAAUAUUGGGCAAUGGGCGCAAGCCUGACCCAGCAACGCCGCGUGAAGGAAGAAGGCUUUCGGGUUGUAAACUUCUUUUAAGAGGGAAGAGGAGAAGACGGUACCUCUAGAAUAAGCCACGGCUAACUACGUGCCAGCAGCCGCGGUAAUACGUAGGUGGCAAGCGUUGUCCGGAUUUACUGGGUGUAAAGGGCGUGCAGCCGGGUCUGCAAGUCAGAUGUGAAACCCAUGGGCUCAACCCAUGAACUGCAUUUGAAACUGUAGAUCUUGAGUGUCGGAGGGGCAAUCGGAAUUCCUAGUGUAGCGGUGAAAUGCGUAGAUAUUAGGAGGAACACCAGUGGCGAAGGCGGAUUGCUGGACGAUAACUGUCGGUGAGGCGCGAAAGUGUGGGGAGCAAACAGGAUUAGAUACCCUGGUAGUCCACACUGUAAACGAUGAAUACUAGGUGUGCGGGGACUGACCCCCUGCGUGCCGCAGUAAACACAAUAAGUAUUCCACCUGGGGAGUACGAUCGCAAGGUUGAAACUCAAAGGA
rnacentral:rRNA from 1 species